rnacentral:rRNA from 1 species
AACUUUCCAGAGAUGGAUUGGUGCCUUCGGGAACUCUGAGACAGGUGCUGCAUGGCUGUCGUCAGCUCGUGUUGUGAAAUGUUGGGUUAAGUCCCGCAACGAGCGCAACCCUUAUCCUUUGUUGCCAGCGGUUAGGCCGGGAAACUCAAAGGAGACUGCCAGUGAUAAACUGGAGGAAGGUGGGGAUGACGUCAAGUCAUCAUGGCCCUUACGAGUAGGGCUACACACGUGCUACAAUGGCGCAUACAAAGAGAAGCGACCUCGCGAGAGCAAGCGGACCUCAUAAAGUGCGUCGUAGUCCGGAUUGGAGUCUGCAACUCGACUCCAUGAAGUCGGAAUCGCUAGUAAUCGUGGAUCAGAAUGCCACGGUGAAUACGUUCCCGGGCCUUGUACACACCGCCCGUCACACCAUGGGAGUGGGUUGCAAAAGAAGUAGGUAGCUUAACCUUCGGGAGGGCGCUUACCACUUUGUGAUUCAUGACUGGGGUGAAGUCGUAACAAGGUAAGCGUAGUGCU